GACGAACGCUGGCGGCGUGCUUAACACAUGCAAGUCGAACGGAAAGGCCCUGCUUUUGUUGGGUGCUCGAGUGGCGAACGGGUGAGAAACACGUGAGUAACCUGCCCUUGACUUUGGGAUAACUUCAGGAAACUGGGGCUAAUACCGGAUAGGAGCUCCUGCUGCAUGGUGGGGAUUGGAAAGUUUCGGCGGUUGGGGAUGGACUCGCGGCUUAUCAGCUUGGUGGUGUGGUAGUGGCUUACCAAGGCUUUGACGGGUAGCCGGCCUGAGAGGGUGACCGGCCACAUUGGGACUGCGAUACGGCCCAGACUCGUACGGGAGGCAGCAGUGGGGAAUAUUGCACAAUGGGCGGAAGCCUGAUGCAGCAACGCCGCGUGCGGGAUGACGGCCUUCGGGUUGUAAACCGCUGUCGCCUGUGACGAAGCGUGAGUGACGGUAAUGGGUAAAGAAGCACCGGCUAACUACGUG
rnacentral:rRNA from 1 species